rnacentral:rRNA from 1 species
UACGUAGGGUCCGAGCGUUGUCCGGAGUUACUGGGCGUAAAGCGCGCGCAGGCGGUGAUGUAAGUUUGGUGUAUAAGCCCGUGGCUCAACCACGGGACGCACUGAAAACUGUGUCGCUGGAGUGCAGGAGAGGAAAGUGGAAUUCCACGUGUAGCGGUGAAAUGCGUAGAGAUGUGGAGGAACACCAGUGGCGAAGGCGGCAUCCUGGACCGAUACUGACGCUGAGGAGCGAAAGCCAGGGGAGCAAACGGG